CCGAGUGCGGGCCCUCUGGGUCCAACCUCCCACCCGUGUCUACACUACCUCGUUGCUUCGGCGGGCCCGUCAGCCCUGGCCGCCGGGGGCGCUCCGCCCCGGGCCCGCGCCCGCCGAAGACACCCUCGAACGCUGUCUGAAAAUUGCAGUCUGAGCGAUUAGCGAAAUUAGUUA
rnacentral:misc_RNA from 1 species